rnacentral:lncRNA from 1 species
AUAAUAUAAAAAAUAUACAAUAUGUGUAUAAACGAUGCAUGUGUUGCACUAUUUACACAAAUAUUGUACUAUUUGAAAGAGAAUGUUACACUAUUUAAAAGGAUAUUGCACUCUUUCAUCUUAUUAAUUAUACUUUAUUUUUUAUUGUCUUAAUGAGAAUUUCUGUCUUUCGAGAAAGGUACAUGCAAUUAUAACUUAGUAGCUGUCAUUUUUAGAAAAUUUGACACUUUAUUUAAUAUACAAUGCAAUUUAAUUUUUAAAAGGCCAAUUUGCAUAAAAAAU